ACUCCUACGGGAGGCAGCAGUGGGGAAUAUUGCACAAUGGGGGAAACCCUGAUGCAGCCAUGCCGCGUGUGUGAAGAAGGCCUUCGGGUUGUAAAGCACUUUCAGUAGGGAGGAAGGUAGUGUAGUUAACACCUGCACUAUUUGACGUUACCUACAGAAGAAGCACCGGCUAUCUCGCGCAGCGCGGUAAUACGGAGGGUGCGAGCGUUAAUCGGAAUUACUGGGCGUAAAGCGCAUGCAGGCGGCCUGUUAAGUCAGAUGUGAAAGCCCGGGGCUUAACCUCGGAAUUGCAUUUGAAACUGGCAGGCUAGAGUCUUGUAGAGGGGGGUGAGAAUUUCAGGUGUAGCGGUGAAAUGCGUAGAGAUCUGAAGGAAUACCAGUGGCGAAGGC
rnacentral:rRNA from 1 species